rnacentral:rRNA from 1 species
UGAACGCUGGCGGCGUGCUUAACACAUGCAAGUCGAACGGUAACAGAGGAAGCUUGCUUCCUGCUGACGAGUGGCGCACGGGUGAGUAAUGCAUAGGUAACGUGCCCCUUAGUCUGGGAUAGCCACUGGAAACGGUGAUUAAUACCGGAUACUCCUUCUCUAUUAAUUAGAGUCGGGAAAGUUUUUCGCUAAGGGAUCGGCCUAUGUUGUAUCAGGUAGUUGGUAGGGUAAUGGCCUACCAAGCCUAUGACACAUAGCGGGUCUGAGAGGAUGAUCCGCCACACUGGUACUGAGACACGGACCAGACUCCUACGGGAGGCAGCAGUGGGGAAUAUUGCACAAUGGGCGAAAGCCUGAUGCAGCAACGCCGCGUGGAGGAUGACACAUUUCGGUGCGUAAACUCCUUUUAUAUAAGAAGAUAAUGACGGUAUUAUAUGAAUAAGCACCGGCUAACUCC